UGAAUGGAAUAUUUUAUUUCUAAAUGGAAGUAAUAACACAAAAUUUUGAAAAGAAUCUGAAAAAUACUGUUUAAAGUGUAAAAAGAUUUAAGAGAAUUUGUAAUAAAACUGAUUCCCAUAUGGAUUUCUGAAAUAAAUCACUCCAGUUUCUUGAUGAUGCUGUCAACAGUGGAACUUUUUAUUGUGUCUAGUCUAAUACUAGGCCAUGAUCCAGGCCAGUGGAGAGACUAAAACGGAAAAAGUAUCUCAGCAAAAUCAAGAUGACAACUUCAUUAAUAAUGAGCAAUCAGAAUUAAGUCAAAUUGGACAUUCCUUAAUAUCAGAACAAAUUAUUUCUAAUCAAGAGUCACCAACUGAAAUACAGACUUAUAAUCAACAGAUUAUUUUAUCUCAACAUGUUUUUCCAGAAG
rnacentral:lncRNA from 1 species